CGAGAGGACCGGGAUGGACGUACCUCUGGUGUACCAGUUGUCCUGCCAAGGGCAUGGCUGGGUAGCUAUGUACGGAAUGGAUAAGCGCUGAAAGCAUCUAAGCGCGAAGCCAACUUCAAGAUAAGAUUUCCCACCGCAAGGGUAAGACUCCAGAAAGACUAUCUGGUUGAUAGGUCGAAGGUGUAAGUGCAGCAAUGUAUUUAGCUUAUCGAUACUAAUAGGUCGAGGACUUGACCAAU
rnacentral:rRNA from 1 species